rnacentral:rRNA from 1 species
GCCUGAUGGAGGGGGAUAACUACUGGAAACGGUAGCUAAUACCGCAUAACGUCGCAAGACCAAAGAGGGGGACCUUCGGGCCUCUUGCCAUCAGAUGUGCCCAGAUGGGAUUAGCUAGUAGGUGGGGUAACGGCUCACCUAGGCGACGAUCCCUAGCUGGUCUGAGAGGAUGACCAGCCACACUGGAACUGAGACACGGUCCAGACUCCUACGGGAGGCAGCAGUGGGGAAUAUUGCACAAUGGGCGCAAGCCUGAUGCAGCCAUGCCGCGUGUAUGAAGAAGGCCUUCGGGUUGUAAAGUACUUUCAGCGGGGAGGAAGGUGUUGUGGUUAAUAACCACAGCAAUUGACGUUACCCGCAGAAGAAGCACCGGCUAACUCCGUGCCAGCAGCCGCGGUAAUACGGAGGGUGCAAGCGUUAAUCGGAAUUACUGGGCGUAAAGCGCACGCAGGCGGUCUGUCAAGUCGGAUGUGAAAUCCCCGGGCUCAACCUGGGAACUGCAUUCGAAACUGGCAGGCUAGAGUCUUGUAGAGGGGGGUAGAAUUCCAGGUGUAGCGGUGAAAUGCGUAGAGAUCUGGAGGAAUACCGGUGGCGAAGGCGGCCCCCUGGACAAAGACUGACGCUCAGGUGCGAAAGCGUGGGGAGCAAACAGGAUUAGAUACCCUGCUAGUCCACGCCGUAACACGAUGUCGACUUGGAGGUUGUGCCCUUGAGGCGUGGCUUCCGGAGCUAACGCGUUAAGUCGACCGCCUGGGGAGUACGGCCGCAAGGUUAAAACUCAAAUGAAUUGACGGGGGCCCGCACAAGCGGUGGAGCAUGUGGUUUAAUUCGAUGCAACGCGAAGAACCUUACCUACUCUUGACAUCCAGAGAACUUUCCAGAGAUGGAUUGGUGCCUUCGGGAACUCUGAGACAGGUGCUGCAUGGCUGUCGUCAGCUCGUGUUGUGAAAUGUUGGGUUAAGUCCCGCAACGAGCGCAACCCUUAUCCUUUGUUGCCAGCGGUCCGGCCGGGAACUCAAAGGAGACUGCCAGUGAUAAACUGGAGGAAGGUGGGGAUGACGUCAAGUCAUCAUGGCCCUUACGAGUAGGGCUACACACGUGCUACAAUGGCGCAUACAAAGAGAAGCGAACUCGCGAGAGCAAGCGGACCUCAUAAAGUGCGUCGUAGUCCGGAUUGGAGUCUGCAACUC